GGAGUCUGGUCCGUGUCUCAGUACCAGUGUGGGGGACCUUCCUCUCAGAACCCCUAACGAUCGUUGGCCAGGUGGGCCGUUACCCCGCCGACUGCCUAAUCAGACGCAUCCCCAUCCCUUACCGAUGAAUCUUUGCUCCUCGUUAGAUGCCCGCAAAGGAGAACAUAGGGCAUUAAUCCGACUUUCGCCGGGCUAUUCCCUAGUAAGGGGAAGGUUGGAUACGCGUUACUCACCCGUGCGCCGGUCGCCAUCAAAGUUUGCAAGCAAACUUCAUGCUGCCCCUCGACUUGCAUGUGUUAAGCCUGUAGCUAGCGUUCAUC
rnacentral:rRNA from 1 species